AUGUCUGUGCGGAUCAAGGCGGUGGUGGACAGGUUCGUGAAGGAGCUGCAGGAGGCGCUGGACGCGGACAUCCAGGACCGCAUCAUGAAGGAGCGGGAGAUGCAGAGCUACAUCCAGGAGCGCGAGCGCGAGGUCGCCGAGAGGGAGGCCGCCUGGAAGGCCGAGCUCUCCCGCCGCGAGGCUGAGAUUGCGCGGCAAGAGGCGAGGCUGAAGAUGGAAAAAGAGAACCUGGAGAAGGAAAAAAGCGUCCUCAUGGGAACCGCCUCCAACCAAGACAACCAGGACGGAGCCCUCGAGAUCACCGUCAGCGGCGAGAAGUACAGAUGCCUUCGUUUCUCCAAGGCGAAGAAGUGA
rnacentral:rRNA from 1 species